rnacentral:rRNA from 1 species
CCGCGUGAGGGAUUGACGGCCUAUCGGGUUGUAAACCUCUUUUAGCAGGGAAGAAGCGAAAGUGACGGUACCUGCAGAAAAAGCGCCGGCUAACUACGUGCCAGCAGCCGCGGUAAUACGUAGGGCGCAAGCGUUAUCCGGAAUUAUUGGGCGUAAAGAGCUCGUAGGCGGUUUGUCACGUCUGCUGUGAAAUCCCGAGGCUCAACUUCGGGUCUGCAGUGGGUACGGGCAGACUAGAGUGCGGUAGGGGAGAUUGGAAUUCCUGGUGUAGCGGUGGAAUGCGCAGAUAUCAGGAGGAACACCGAUGGCGAAGGCAGAUCUCUGGGCCGUAACUGACGCUGAGGAGCGAAAGGGUGGGGAGCAAACAGGCUUAGAUACCCUGGUAGUCCACCCCGUAAACGUUGGGAACUAGUUGUGGGGUCCAUUCCACGGAUUCCGUGACGCAGCUAACGCAUUAAGUUCCCCGCCUGGGGAGUACGGCCGCAAGGCUAAAACUCAAAGGAAUUGACGGGGACCCGCACAAGCGGCGGAGCAUGCGGAUUAAUUCGAUGCAACGCGAAGAACCUUACCAAGGCUUGACAUAUACGAGAACGCUGCAGAAAUGUAGAACUCUUU